CAAUAGCGUAUAUUAAAGUUGUUGCAGUUAAAAAGCUCGUAGUUGGAUUUCUGGUGGGAGCGAUCGGUCUGGCGCUUAGCGCGAGUACUUGCAUCGUCUCCGGCCAUCCUUGGGGGGAGUCUGUCUGGCAUUAGGUUGUCGGGCAGAGGAUCCUCAUCGUUUACUGUGAAAAAAUUAGAGUGUUCAAAGCAGGCUUAUGCCGUUGAAUAUAUUAGCAUGGAAUAAUAAGAUAGGACUUUGGUACUAUUUUGUUGGUUUGCGCACCAAAGUAAUGAUUAAUAGGGACAGUUGGGGGUAUUCGUAUUCCGUUGUCAGAGGUGAAAUUCUUGGAUUUACGGAAGACGAACUACUGCGAAAGCAUUUACCAAGGAUGUUUUCAUUAA
rnacentral:rRNA from 1 species